GACGAACGCUGGCGGCGUGCUUAAUACAUGCAAGUCGAACGGAAAGGCCCUGCGUUUGUGGGGUGCUCGAGAGGCGAGCGGGGGAGUAACACGUGAGUAACAUGCACUUAACAUUGGGAUAACUUCAGGAAACUGGGGCUAAUACAGGGUAGGAGCUACUGCAGCAUGGGGGGGAAUGGAGAGAUUCGGCGGUUGGGGCUAGAAUAGAGGCUUAUCAGCUUGUUGGUGGGGUAGGGGCUUACCAGGGCUUUGAGGGGUAGCCGGCCUUAGAGGGGGACCGGGCUCCUGGGGACUGAGAUACGGCCCAGAAUCCUACGGGCGGCAGCAGUGGGGAAUAUUGCACAAUGGGCGGAAGCCUGAUGCAGCAACGCCGCGUUCGGGAUGACGGCCUUCGGGUUGUAAACCGCUGUCGCCUGUGAUGAAGCGUGAGUGACGGUAAUGGGUAAAGAAGCACCGGCUAACUACGUG
rnacentral:rRNA from 1 species